GCCCGAGUAGCUCAGUUUGGAUUAGAGCGAUGCCCUCCUAAGGCAUAGGUCGCAGGUUCAAGUCCUGUCUCGGGCA
rnacentral:tRNA from 1 species